AUUGAACGCUGGCGGCAUGCUUUACACAUGCAAGUCGAACGGUAACAGGCCGCAGGGUGCUGACGAGUGGCGAACGGGUGAGUAAUGCAUCGGAACGUGCCCAGUCGUGGGGGAUAACGCAGCGAAAGCUGCGCUAAUACCGCAUACGACCUAUGGAUGAAAGCGGGGGACCGUAAGGCCUCGCGCGAUUGGAGCGGCCGAUGUCAGAUUAGGUAGUUGGUGGGGUAAAGGCUCACCAAGCCAGCGAUCUGUAGCUGGUCUGAGAGGACGACCAGCCACACUGGGACUGAGACACGGCCCAGACUCCUACGGGAGGCAGCAGUGGGGAAUUUUGGACAAUGGGCGCAAGCCUGAUCCAGCAAUGCCGCGUGCAGGAAGAAGGCCUUCGGGUUGUAAACUGCUUUUGUACGGAACGAAACGGCUCUCUCUAAUACAGGGGGUUAAUGACGGUACCGUAAGAAUAAGCACCGGCUAACUACGUGCCAGCAGCCGCGGUAACAC
rnacentral:rRNA from 1 species